rfam:Agrilus planipennis Contig38999, whole genome shotgun sequence.
UCUUCGGUAGUAUAGUGGUCAGUAUCCCCGCCUGUCACGCGGGAGACCCGGGUUCGAUUCCCGGCCGGAGAG